rnacentral:rRNA from 1 species
AGUGAACGCUGGCGGUAGGCCUAACACAUGCAAGUCGAACGGCAGCACAGUAAGAGCUUGCUCUUACGGGUGGCGAGUGGCGGACGGGUGAGGAAUACAUCGGAAUCUACUUUUUCGUGGGGGAUAACGUAGGGAAACUUACGCUAAUACCGCAUACGACCUACGGGUGAAAGCAGGGGAUCUUCGGACCUUGCGCGAUUGAAUGAGCCGAUGUCGGAUUAGCUAGUUGGCGGGGUAAAGGCCCACCAAGGCGACGAUCCGUAGCUGGUCUGAGAGGAUGAUAAGCCACACUGGAACUGAGACACGGUCAAGACGACUACGGGAGGCAGCAGUGGGGAAUAGUGGACAAUGGGCGCAAGCCUGAUCCAGCCAUACCGCGUGGGUGAAGAAGGCCUUCGGGUUGUAAAGACCUUUUGUUGGGAAAGAAAAGCAGCAGGUUAAUACCCAGCUGUUCUGACGGUACCCAAAGAAUAAGCACCGGCUAACUUCGUG